UUAGAAACAAAAACAUCAUCUAUGGCGAGUUGGAGAGUUUUUCUAAAUCAGCUAAUUUGGAUUAAAUUUGGCUUUUAACUCGCUACAAAUCGCUUUAUCUACAUUAUAGCAGCAUUAAGUGGCUGAGCAGGUUAGCGGAUGAUUGCAGCCAGCGACUGGCAUUAAAAUACAGAUAACAUUGAUACUGCUAAUGCAGAAGUGGAAGGCUUGCAUUUAGGAUUUUGCUGAGUAGGGGUCUCGGUAUUAAGGACCCCCUACCUAUUGUAUCUUUAUGUAAGGUAUGAGAAUUUCCCCAAUAACAGUUACGCUGGAGACACCGUGAUUAUUUAAAUUGUUAACAGAGUGCACAAUUUAAAGUGAUUGGUAAAAAAGAGCUCUGUGAUUAUUUAGUUACAAUAUGUAGG